rnacentral:rRNA from 1 species
AGUGAAGAAGGUCUUCGGAUCGUAAAACUCUGUUAUUAGGGAAGAACAAAUGUGUAAGUAACUGUGCACGUCUUGACGGUACCUAAUCAGAAAGCCACGGCUAACUACGUGCCAGCAGCCGCGGUAAUACGUAGGUGGCAAGCGUUAUCCGGAAUUAUUGGGCGUAAAGCGCGCGUAGGCGGUUUUUUAAGUCUGAUGUGAAAGCCCACGGCUCAACCGUGGAGGGUCAUUGGAAACUGGAAAACUUGAGUGCAGAAGAGGAAAGUGGAAUUCCAUGUGUAGCGGUGAAAUGCGCAGAGAUAUGGAGGAACACCAGUGGCGAAGGCGACUUUCUGGUCUGUAACUGACGCUGAUGUGCGAAAGCGUGGGGAUCAAACAGGAUUAGAUACCCUGGUAGUCCACGCCGUAAACGAUGAGUGCUAAGUGUUAGGGGGUUUCCGCCCCUUAGUGCUGCAGCUAACGCAUUAAGCACUCCGCCUGGGGAGUACGACCGCAAGGUUGAAACUCAAAGGAAUUUGACGGA